AUUGAACGCUGGCGGCAGGCUUAACACAUGCAAGUCGAACGGUAACAUAAAGAAGCUUGCUUCUUUGAUGACGAGUGGCGGACGGGUGAGUAAUGCUUGGGAAUCUAGCUUAUGGAGGGGGAUAACUACGGGAAACUGUAGCUAAUACCGCGUAAUAUCGAAAGAUUAAAGUGUGGGACCUUCGGGCCACAUGCCAUAGGAUGAGCCCAAGUGGGAUUAGGUAGUUGGUGAGGUAAAGGCUCACCAAGCCGACGAUCUCUAGCUGGUCUGAGAGGAUGACCAGCCACACUGGGACUGAGACACGGCCCAGACUCCUACGGGAGGCAGCAGUGGGGAAUAUUGCGCAAUGGGGGCAACCCUGACGCAGCCAUGCCGCGUGAAUGAAGAAGGCCUUCGGGUUGUAAAGUUCUUUCGGUAGCGAGGAAGGCACUUAGUUUAAUAGACUAGGUGAUUGACGUUUACUACAGUAGAAGCACCGGCUAACUCCCUGCCAGCAGCCGCGGGAAUACGGAGGGUGCGAGCGUUUAAUCGGAAUAACUGGGCGUAAAGGGUACGCAGGCGGUGACUUAAGUGAGGGGUGAAAGCCCCGUGUCUUAACCUGGGGAAUUGUGGUUUCGUACUGUGGUCGCUGUAGUACUUUGUGGGAGGGUUGAAAUUGCUCUUGUGAGCGUUGAAAAGCGUGUGAGUGUUGGAGAUAGAUGCAAAGGGUGGGUG
rnacentral:rRNA from 1 species